GUGGGCUGCAUUACCAGUCUGAAAGUGACUGAUCUUGUCAGAUCUCAGAAGCCAUCCAGACUCGGGCCUGGUUAGUACUUGUAUGGGAGACCAGGUGCCGUUACCG